UCAACCCUAAAAACUGUUGCACUACAUUUGUUUGCUUGUUUGAUUCGUAGUUUACAGUUGUUCAUUCAGGGGAGUCAGUCAAUCAUGAUUUUAUACUUACUGUAUAAAAAGUGCUGUUGCAUGUACUACAGAUGAUAUGUAUCACUAUUCUCUCUCUCUCUCAGUUUCCCUUCAUAGGCGUUUUUCUAUUACAGAUAGCAGCAACUUCAAACCUCACCUGGAAAUGAUGGGGGAAUGUGGUGGAGGUGUUCGAUAUAGCCUCAGGCUGAUUCUUUCUUAUUUCUUUAUUUCUGUCCUUUGCACCGUUCUCCAGAACAGGGCGACACAGAUCCACUGAUUGGUGGAGUUUGGAUCAGAAGACAAGCUAAGCAUUCACGAGCAGAGAACAUUCGGCUCCUCUAUCAUCCGCCACAUACUUGACCCGCAGUAACUCCGCUUUGACAGAGCAUCACAGGCUUUCUGUGUAAGACAGGGCCUUGUUUUAGGAAAAUGUGAUUAUGAAAGACAUCAAAUCGUAGAUGUCCUGGCUCUCUCUCUCUCUUUUUUAGCUUUGUUGAAGGCGGCUGACAGAAGCCAGCUUCUGGUUACGUUUUGCGAACUGUCACUCUCCCCUAAGAUAACACCCCUGCACAGAGGCUUGGAAAUGCCAAGGUUCAAGUUUACAAUUUAAAAGUUUAAAUGCAGAACCACGGGUCACCGAGGGCCACAGUAAAGGUCAGUGCCAUGACGACGGCUGUUGGAUAUUGUUCAGCCCCUCGAGUUACACGUUCUAUCUUUAUCUCGCCUUUCUUUCUCAUUUCUGGCAUAUUCGAACUAGAAGUCUGUUCAAAUAAAAACAAUGAUUUCAUAGCAGGUCUUUGCAAUUUCUCAGAUGAGUAAUAUGUUAUUUGCAGAGAAAGCUGUGCAUGAGGGUGUUUCUGAUUCUCAGCGUUCUUACCAGAAGCUGAACCGUAAUUAUGGAAUAGGCAAUUCAGCGUGAUCGUCCCACUGUGCGAUCUUCUGAGUGAGCAUAGCAGGAGACAUGAAGACACCUGUGUCUCAGCAGGGACUGGACCUCCUCUCUUCAUUCCCGUCCUCUCUUUCUGAAAUGACAUGAAAACAUUUGAAUAAAUCUGUUUCGUACACAUAUAGGAUGAUUAACCAUCGGUGCCUCCGCAGCCUUUAAAAGCAAAGCAUAUUGGCUGGAGUCUGUGCCAAGGCGCAUCGCUCUCCCCCUUCUCCCCCUUCCGGGCCUCGACGGUUAUGCUCUUUCCCUGCAGGGGGCCCUGGAGCCGGUCUUGUCCUGACACCGCAAACAUAUGUAAGGACACCUGAGCUACGGCCUCCAGCCUCCCGCCACCAAGGGUUAAUUUUCCACCCAGCCGCGCGGCAGCCAGACUUGGCCAAGUUUCCUGUCGCCCACAGUGCACCACAAGCUGUGUUUGGGAGCCAGCAAACAACAUUAAUCCUGCCCCUAUGACGGAUCGCAUAUGCAAAAUGUCCGCCACCCUACGCGUUCACACAGUCAGGCAGGUACGGGGACAGGAAGGAAAGACGACGUAGUUGGACAGAGAGGAAGAGAGAUUACGGGAAAGGAGGAGGAGGAGGGAGAGCGCAGACUGUACUUCAUCACACCACUGGAAGUUUCAAUCUUCCUUUUGUCUUUAACAUUUCAGGUGCCGAUGUGUGCGAUGCCAGGAAAGGUCAGGAGAUGAUUUACUGAACAUUUAUGGAGGCUUUAUCUUCAGUCCUUGUCACCAAGUCGGGCGAUGCUUCAUAGAGGGUCGCCAAAACAGACGUGGAAAAAAGAGAGCGUGACAACACCGCAACCCCAGAGUUCCGCAAUGACACAGUCUUUAACCAGCCCAACUCUUGGCAGGUACAGAACACUAAAGGACCAUUUUAUUUCUAAAUGAGUCUGAAUGGCGCUCCACAAAGACUGGAAAUGCUGCUGCCCUUUCAUUUUAAAUGGCUAUCGGGUUCAUCCAGCACAUAAAACUCAUCACCGAAAAUGAAUAGAAGCGGUUGGAGAAGAGACUGGAGAUGUGAACUGUCCCUCUGGAACGAGCUGCCAUUAAGUUUACUAAAAAUGUCUGAUGGUUUCGCCCAGACAGUUAGGAAAGCUGUGUCUGAACGGGAUCCAAAUCUCUGAUGCCAUGAACCCCUCCUAAAUAGGAUAAUCCUGAUGAAAUGGGUCCGCAGACCCAGUUUGAAAUGUGUCAACAACAACAAAAUAUGAUCAAUAUGGUAAGUUCAUAAUUUUAA